UACGUAGGGUGCGAGCGUUAAUCGGAAUUACUGGGCGUAAAGCGUGCGCAGGCGGUUUGUUAAGACAGAUGUGAAAUCCCCGGGCUUAACCUGGGAACUGCAUUUGUGACUGGCAAGCUAGAGUAUGGCAGAGGGGGGUAGAAUUCCACGUGUAGCAGUGAAAUGUGUAGAGAUGUGGAGGAAUACCGAUGGCGAAGGCAGCCCCCUGGGCCAAUACUGACGCUCAUGCACGAAAGCGUGGGGAGCAAACAGG
rnacentral:rRNA from 1 species